rnacentral:misc_RNA from 1 species
GAUUUCAUUAUCUGUUCUUCCGGGUAGAUGAGAUGCAAUCUUGGACCAUCUGUUGCCGAGUUGAGCAUGGAGAUCAAUGACCAUUUUCUCUUCAUGUUCUGAUAAAAAACCUCUCUUCAAAUCUGGCCUUAAAUAGUUAGUCCAUCUCAGCCUGCAACUUUUCCCACACCUUAACAAUCCUGCAAGCUUAGGAACAGCUCUCCAGCAGCAUUGGCCAUUGUUGAGGAUGAAGUUCAUGAGUUUCUUAUCCUCCUCUGCUGUCCAUGGACCCUUCUUCAACCCAACUUUGUCACAGCAAGGUUGUCUACCCAUCUUCCUCGAACUCAAAAAAUUCCCAAAAACAAAGAUAACAAGCUGAUGGGGAGGGGAAGAUAUUGAAGAGAAGAGAAGAGUCUUGAUUGUUAAAAGAUACAGAGAAAUGAUGAGCAGAGGUAGAAUGUGCCAAUAUGGGUCACUAGCUACCUACUUAU